rnacentral:rRNA from 1 species
UUUUAUGGAGAGUUUGAUCCUGGCUCAGGAUGAACGCUGGCGGCGUGCCUAAUACAUGCAAGUCGAGCGAACAGACGAGGAGCUUGCUCCUCUGACGUUAGCGGCGGACGGGUGAGUAACACG